UGGGGAAUAUUGCACAAUGGGCGCAAGCCUGAUGCAGCCAUGCCGCGUGUGUGAAGAAGGCCUUCGGGUUGUAAAGCACUUUCAGCGGGGAGGAAGGCGUUAAGAUUAAUAACCUUGGCGAUUGACGUUACCCACAGAAGAAGCACCGGCUAACUCCGUGCCAGCAGCCGCGGUAAUACGGAGGGUGCAAGCGUUAAUCGGAAUUACUGGGCGUAAAGCGCACGCAGGCGGUCUGUCAAGUCGGAUGUGAAAUCCCCGGGCUCAACCUGGGAACUGCAUCUGAUACUGGCAAGCUUGAGUCUCGUAGAGGGGGGUAGAAUUCCAGGUGUAGCGGUGAAAUGCGUAGAGAUCUGGAGGAAUACCGGUGGCGAAGGCGGCCCCCUGGACAAAGACUGACGCUCAGGUGCGAAAGCGUGGGGAGCAAACAGG
rnacentral:rRNA from 1 species